GAUGACGAUCCUGCCCCCCACGGAGAAGCUGAAGAUCCUCCUGGAAAAGCUCAGUGCCUUCUACACCAAGUUCGUCAAGGAAUUCUCGUAACGAGGGCGCGGCGCUAAUUAACGUCAUCCCCGAUGUCACCUCCCCAUUCCGGGAGUAUCCAGCACUUUUUAUUCUUUGGGAAUUCCAGUUCCUCCAAAUUUUGGGAAUUCCAGCUCCUCCAACCCUUGGGAAUUCCAGUUUCUCCAAUCCUUGGGAAUUACAGAUCUUUUAAUAUUUGGGAAUUCCAGCUCCUCCAAAUUUUGGGAAUUCCAGCUCAAAUCCUUGGGAAUUCUAGUUCCUCCUAUCCUUGGGAAUUCCAGCUCCUCCAACCCUUGGGAAUUCCAGUUUCUCCAAUCCUUGGGAAUUACAGAUCUUUUAAUAUUUGGGAAUUCCAGCUCCUCCAAAUUUUGGGAAUUCCAGCUCAAAUCCUUGGGAAUUCUAGUUCCUCCUAUCCUUGGGAAUUCCAGCUCCUCCAACCCUUGGGAAUUCCAGUUUCUCCAAUCCUUGGGAAUUACAGAUCUUUUAAUAUUUGGGAAUUCCAGCUCCUCCAAAUUUUGGGAAUUCCAGCUCAAAUCCUUGGGAAUUCUAGUUCCUCCUAUCCUUGGGAAUUCCAGCUCCUCCAACCCUUGGGAAUUCCAGUUUCUCCAAUCCUUGGGAAUUACAGAUCUUUUAAUAUUUGGGAAUUCCAGCUCCUCCAAAUUUUGGGAAUUCCAGCUCAAAUCCUUGGGAAUUCUAGUUCCUCCUAUCCUUGGGAAUUCCAGCUCCUCCAACCCUUGGGAAUUCCAGUUUCUCCAAUCCUUGGGAGUUCACUUGGGAAUUUUGGGGUCCCAACAUCCCGAAUCCAGCACUCAACUCCGAUACACAACAUCCUGAAAUCUCAAAAUCCCGACAUCCCAGCAUCCCAAAAUUCCCAACAUCCCACAACCCAAAAUUCAAAAUUCCCAACAUUCCAAAAUCCUGACAUUUAACAUCCCAAAAUCCAAGAAUCAACACCAAAAAUCCCAACAAUCCCUACAUCCCAAGUUCCCAAUAUCCCAAAAUCCCAAAAUCUCAGCAGUCCAAAAUCCCAGUACCCCAACACCCCAAAACCCCUGUAUCUCCAAAUCCCAACAUCCCAAAACCCCAAAAUCCCCAAAUCCUGAAAUUUCCAACAUUCAACAUCUCAAAAUCCAAGAGUCAACACCCAAAAUCCCAACAGGCAACGUCCCCAAAUCCCCAAAUCACAACACCAAACUCGCAACCCCC
rnacentral:lncRNA from 1 species